CACGCGCCGGCACACGCAUACGCGGUAGAGAGGACGGAAUAGAGACACCAGCACCUCGACAAAGACGAGAAGACACGCACGGAGAACAAGCGCUCGUGUGCUUGUGGUGUAUGCGUGCGUGUGCCCGCUUGCGUCGCAAGGGUCUUUGCAUUCGGCGUGCUUUUCUCUCGGGGCCGCUCACGCCCCUCCGCCCUGCGUACUGUCCUUCCACCUACCUCCCCGUCUCUCCCACGUACGCGGUGCCUGCUUGUGGUGUGUGCAUGCGUGUGCGCGACCCGCUUUUUUGCUCUUCCUCUUCUCCUUUGUGGGUCUGCAUACACUCUCAUGCGCCACGGUACGGCACCGCAGGUGGGCGGACGAAAGCGAAGCCGCUCUCGCUCGUCAGAGAAGUCGCCCGUGUCGGCGCUGCACGAUGAGGAAGCGGAGGACGUCGUCGCAUCGCCCGUGCAUGCGAAGGAGAAGCACCAUCCGCAGCUAAGUGCCAAUGCGACCAGCCCUGUUAUCUCUAGCCCUCACGGGAGUAGCCACGGUAGCUGCAACUCAAGCGUCUCCUCGACAUCCUCCUCGUCUUCUGCCACCAAG
rnacentral:misc_RNA from 1 species